AGCUUCGUAGCUCAGCUGGUAGAGCGCUUGUUUCGUAGAGGCAUGGUGUUUCUUUCGCUGGUUCGAAUCCAGCCGAAGCCC
rnacentral:tRNA from 1 species